rnacentral:rRNA from 1 species
AUACUAAGGCGCUUGAGAGAACCCGGGUGAAGGAACUCGGCAAAAUAGUACCGUAACUUCGGGAGAAGGUACGCCACUGUUUGUGAACUCUUUGCGAGGUAAGCAGAUGGUGGCCGCAGUGACCAGAUGGCUGGGACUGUUUAUUAAAAACACAGCACUGUGCUAACACGAAAGUGGACGUAUACGGUGUGACACCUGCCCGGUGCCGGAAGGUUAAUUGAUGGGGUUAGACGUAAGUCGAAGCUCCUGAUCGAAGCCCCGGUAAACGGCGGCCGUAACAAUAACGGUCCUAAGGUAGCGAAAUUCCUUGUCGGGUAAGUUCCGACCCGCACGAAAGGCGUAAUGAUUUGGAUACUGUCUCAGAGAGGGGCUCGGUGAAAUAGACUUGUCUGUGAAGAUGCGGACUACCUGCACCAGGACAGAAAGACCCUAUGAAGCUUUACUGUAGCUUGAAAUUGAAAUUGGACUUUAUUCGCGCAGCAUAGGUGGGAAGCUUUGACGAUAAUCUUGCGGGAAUAUCUGAGCUAUCAGUGAGAUACCACUCUUGUAAUGUUAGAUUUCUAACUUUGUACCAUGAUCUGGUCAAAGAACAGUUUCAGGUGGGCAGUUUGACUGGGGCGGUCGCCUCCCAAAUGGUAACGGAGGCGUACAAAGGUUUCCUCAGGUCGGUCAGAAAUCGAUCGUAGAGUGUAAAGGCAGAAGGAAGCUUGACUGUGAGACCUACAAGUCGAACAGGGACGAAAGUCGGUCUUAGUGAUCUGACGGUACUGAGUGGAAAGGCCGUCACUCAACGGAUAAAAGUUACUCUAGGGAUAACAGGCUGAUCUCCCCCA